rnacentral:rRNA from 1 species
GACGAACCGUGCAAACGUUGUUCGGAAUCACUGGGCUUAAAGGGCGCGUAGGCGGGCCAGCCAGUCUGUGGUGAAAGCCUCCAGCUUAACUGGAGAAGUGCCGUGGAUACUGCUGGCCUCGAGGAGGAUAGGGGCAUCUGGAACGGUCGGUGGAGCGGUGAAAUGCGCAGAUAUCAGGAAGAACACCAAUGGCGAAAGCAGCUUUCUGGGACGGUACUGACGCUGAGACGCGAAAGCGUGGGGAGCGAACAGG